rnacentral:rRNA from 1 species
GGAAUGAGCGGCGGACGGGUGAGUAACACGUAAGGAACCUGCCUCAAGGAUUGGGAUAACUCCGAGAAAUCGGAGCUAAUACCGGAUAGUUCAACGGACCGCAUGGUCCGCUGAUGAAAGGCGCUUCGGCGUCACCUUGAGAUGGCCUUGCGGUGCAUUAGCUAGUUGGUGGGGUAAUGGCCCACCAAGGCGACGAUGCAUAGCCGACCUGAGAGGGUGAUCGGCCACACUGGGACUGAGACACGGCCCAGACUCCUACGGGAGGCAGCAGUAGGGAAUCUUCCACAAUGGACGAAAGUCUGAUGGAGCAACGCCGCGUGAGUGAUGAAGGUUUUCGGAUCGUAAAACUCUGUUGUAAGGGAAGAACACGUACGAGAGGUAAUGCUCGUACCUUGACGGUACCUUACGAGAAAGCCACGGCUAACUACGUGCCAGCAGCCGCGGUAAUACGUAGGUGGCAAGCGUUGUCCGGAAUUAUUGGGCGUAAAGCGCGCGCA